UAAGAGACGUCGUCGUCAUCGUCGUUCGUACAGUUGGUUCUUUUUCGUCGAGAUGGUAUAAACGGAGCUGCCGUUUAUACCGACCGGCGGAGAUGCUGUUGGUACAUCCGUGUGACUGACACAUAACAACCGAACCCCGAGUACGACAAACAUGGCGUGGACAGGCAGGUACCGCCGCACCCAAAGCACAUGAAAAGAGGCGAGAGCAGCUGGAAAACAGGAACUAGCGGCUAAAAUGGAUGAGUUUGCAGAGGAGGAAGGCUAAUAAUUAUACGGCCCCGACAUCGGAGACUAAGCUUACAUCAGCCUUAAUUGGAGCGACCCGAGCGUUGCACGGCGCGAGUCCGAGGAGCCGACUUGAAGCAGCCGCUGCGCCGCCAUUGUGAACUUUUUGGACAUAAAAAAAAAAAAAAAAAAAAAAAAUAAUUUGAUAAUACCUUAAAUCAUAAAUAUUAUGAUGUACUUUGUUCCGAUUUAAUAACUCUCCAUCCGUUUGUGGCGAUCGCAUCGCCGCAGACCGAGAAAUUGGAAAGACGCGACCGAACGUAUCAUGAUACACAUAUACACAUAUACACGCACAUAUACAUACGCGUACAUACGGGUACAGAGUGAACAACUGAAGAAGGUAGACAACACGCGAGACGGAAAGCGAGAAAACAAUAAUAGAGGAAGCCGUUACAGACAACCGUCGUAAUUGAUAAAAAUGAAGUAAAAGUUGUACUUUGCUACACGGAUUGCGCCGAUGCACAUGCACGUCAUAUUUAAAACCGCGAGUCAAAGUUUAGAGACAGUUAAGCGUAGCCCGCGGAAUAGAUAGGAAAGCGAAAGGUUUUCUCUCGGGAAGAUUUUGAAGUGUCGGAGAGAUUUCCAGGAGGACACAGAAGUCGAGACUGGCGAGCAAACAAGCAGAAGUUGAUUCGACCGGUAUAUCUCAGCGAGUGCGGGCGCGUUGAACGGGUGUAUUCGGAAUUGAGAUUUACAAUAAAUUUCGGACGGACUCUGAACGCAAAAUUAACAUUUUCUUCUUUCGUUACACCCGGACACAUUAUUCUCCUGACACACUUUUGUGUGUUUUCACAGAUAACGAAACGUUUAAUAAAAAUUGUGGAAAAAACUGCCGUUUACUCGACCCUCCCCCUUAAUGGAAAAUUUGGCAAUUUGAGACUUUGCAUCGCCAUAUCUGCGCUCGUAGGGCACGUAGGAGAGGAGAGGAGAGGAGAGGAGAGGAGAGGAGAGGAGAGGAAAUAAAAACUUUGAUUACAUAAUUGGACCGCAAGCUAUGCAUCGAGCCUACUCCGAACUUGAUCCGUUGAGCCGUUAUUGAGUGGUAAUAAUCGGAGUGUCGGCGAAAGCGUGGCUCGGCGUAAAAGAGUUACGGUGCGGUGGCUCGCUGCGAUUGGUAGUGUGGGCGACCUAACCAUUACGAUAUGGCAUUAACGAGGCAAAUGCGAGCGAUCCUAACGAAAGAAAAGCAGGAAAGAGUAGAAAAUGACACGAAGGGAGAGAAAAUGCGAAAAUAAUGCAUCUUGAGUCGUGCGCGGGCGGCCUAACGUGGUCGUAACCGGGAUGAAUGCCGUACUAACGAUAUAAAUAGGGCGCAGUACUAACUCGGAAGAGUGGGAAAAUUGAGGAAAAAUGAAAUUUGCUUGGUUUGCGCGCCGUAGGCUGAUGGGCGUGAAAAAAGCCUGCUGCAGUACCGACGACUAGAUAGAAAAAAAAAAAAAAAAGAGGAAAUGGUGUGGCAGGGAUUGCGAUAUGGGAGCAGGUAGAUGGAAUCGGAAGAAAGAUAGUCUAUGUACGUUUAUUCGGAGUAUGGAGAAGCGACGGACGACUACCGAUCGCUGACACGUUAUCGAAAUCCCCCCUGCAUACAGGCCGUAUUGAUAGUGGAGCGUGAAGUGAAGACUGGAGACGACGGAGACGACGGAGACGAAGCGUGUGUUAUGGAAGGAAGAUGGUCGUAAGACGAAUAUAGAGUAGAUUUGAUAGCGACGAAAGAAGAAUCCUCUUGUGAUGGUGGAGAGUGGAGAGUGGAGAGUGGAGAGUGGAGAGGAAGUUUUGGCUGAAGUAAGCGUUAUGGAAUGCGGGAGACGGACUGGGCGAAGAGGCGCUUAAGCUAAGGAGCGGGAAUGGCCGUGAUGCUUAUUGCCGCAUUGGACCUAUUGGCUGUUUGCGUGAUAUUUGCGUUGGUUGGUGCGAUGUGGCAAUGGCGACAUAGCGACAUAGCGACAUUGCAUGGGAGACGUGGCUGGAAGUACGAUGGAGGUUUAAUAGAAGCCGUGACUGUAAAAUAUUAGCCAGGUGUUAUUAGAAGAGGAUAUUGAUUGGAUGAUCGUUGUAAGGUUGAAUAGGAAUAGGAAUAGGAAUAGGAAUAGGAAUAAGGAAUAAAAUAUAGAUUUAUUGCUACUCGUAAGGUUAAGUUGACCGGUUGAGGAUAAGGAAUGGAAGGGAGUAGGAGGAAUUUUGGAAAUUAGUAAAGGAAGAGACGAUGGUAAGGUAAGAUGAUGAAGAGAUGAUGGUUUGGUACUGCAUGGAAUUAAGCAGGCGGUUAACAAUAUAGUGAGAGGUAAUGAUAAAAGAGAAAAGAGAAGAGAAAAGAGAAAAGAGAAAAGAAGAAAGAAAAAGGAAAAUGCAGAAAAUGCAGGAAAUGAAGAGAAAAAAUGUAAAUUUUGCUUGGUUUAAGCGCCGCAGGCCGAUGAGCCGAAAAAAAGCGUGGUUUAUUAUAUUAUAGUUUAUUGUUAUAUUUAACCACUGGAAAAUUGAGGGAAGAAAAAAAAAAAAAAAAAAAAAAUAGAAAUUUGCUCGGUUUGAGCACCGCAGGCCGAUAAUCGGAAAAAAGCCUAGUGUAUUAGCCAUAAAAAAAAAAUAAUGGAGAAAAUUAAGUAAAAAAAAAAAAAUUUGCUUGGUUUGAGCGCCGCAGGCCGAUGAUCGGAAAAAAAGCCUGGUGUACUAACCGU